rnacentral:lncRNA from 12 species
CUCUGCGGGAGAGAGAGACGAGGAAGUGCAAACCCUCCCGGCCACCCCCACACACGCGAACCACUUACAGCAGGAAGACACGGGACGGCACCUGUGGAAUGUGGGAACAGUCUCUCAAGGACGCUCACAGCCUAGUCCUGCAACCCGUGGGCCUGCUGGGGGGCUGUCCGCAGGUGUCAGGCGGGAUUAAGGGUCUUCGUCAGCUGACGGUGAGAAGGGGAACAGGGGGUCGGUGUCCGGGUGACAUGGCGUGACAAAGACGUGCCCGGGCCCUGCGGCUCCGGGGAUGCAGGAAGGAGCCACAGGCCCAGGAGCGCGGGCGCCUCCAGAAGCCAGGGAAGGCAAGCGAACGGACUGUGUCCCGGAGCUUCCAGGACAGCCCAGUGAGCCCCAUUUCAGCUCCGCAGCUGCCGCACAGGACGUCCCGUCACCUUGAGGCACCUUGAGGCACCGCGUCUGUGCUGAGUGGCUACGCCCAGCCUGGGGAGGAGGAGGCCUCGGGGACACAUGUGCUACAAGCAGGCACACACCCGUUGCCGGGAGGGAAGCUGCCUCAGUUGCAUCCUGUGUCUCCCCCUCGUCCCAUUUCCCUCCGACCUCACGGGGUGGGGGCAUCACCCCACGGAAUCCCCGGGAGGGGAACUUUGGUGUCAGGCCUGCUUUGGGAGGAAGCUGCUGACUAUGCACAGCUGUUGGCUCAGCGGUGCCCCCCCUCCGGCCCCCUCCCGGGGCUCAGGGCUGCUGCAGGGGCGGGGGGCACCGGACCCGCACACGGGGCCCAGCUGGAGGCCCGCCGGCACGCCCGGGGUCUUGGCUGAGGACGCUUCCUGGUCGAGUUAGGACAAGUCUGGACAGGUCCUUUGCAGGCUCUUGGCCUUGGGUCACCCGAGUCCUGAACUGCGGUGGGCUUCGCCCCGGCCGCACCCCGGGCCCGUUGUCCAGAACAGAUGUCCUUCCGACGGGGCCAAUGACGUCACGCCAAUGACGCCCCGGCCGGGUGAGGUGGGAGCGGCCCGGAGCCUCCUGGGCCCACGGGGCAGCUGUUCCCAGGCCGAGCGUGCCUUUGCAGCGGCUCCGUCCCUGCCCCCACCGAGGCGGCCUCUGUCGCGCGGACGGCCAAGCGACCUCUUGGAUCGGAGGCCUUCCUGCCAACCGUGCCCAGAACAGAUGGGGACGGGUCUCCUGGGCACGUCCAGCUGAGGCGGAUUUCACAGCAGGCGGAAGAGCAGGCGGGGGAGCAGACAAGCCAGCCCCUUCCCACGGCCACUUGGGAGGCCACACUGCUCGCCCAGCUGUCUCCCCUCUCCCUGCGAGGGCGGGGCCCGAGGCGGGGGCUCCGGGCGGGCGGCGACAGCCUCCAGCCAGGCCUCGGGCGGCCCAGCUCCCUGCCGAUCCGGAUCCGCUGAGGGGGGGCCUGCCCGUCGCGUCACCGGACCCCGGCCAGCCGCAGCACCAGGCGGGCCCCUCUCUAGGCCCGGCGCCCCCUCCCGCCCCCACCGCCCCAUCCCUGCUCCCAUCUGGCCCCUCCCGACCUGUCCCCUUCUGCGCCCACCCCGCCUGGGCGGCGUCUUGCCUCUGUUUCCCCAUUUGCUCCGCCCGCGUCAUCCCCGCGAGUCCAGUCACCGCGUCUGGGAUCUGCUGCUCCUCUCCUGGCCCGUUUCUCGCCCCAGGGACCGGGUCCUCUUUCCAGCAGGGAGUGGCUCCGACUCGGCCUCCCUGUCGCCGCGGAAGGCGCAAGGUGCCUGGGGUUGGGCUGCCAGAACGAAAUACCACGGACCCACGGACGCGGCGGCUGAACCCACAGACCUUCAUCUCCCGCGACAGGGCUGGGAAGCCAGGCCCGGGUGCCCACAGACGGGGGCGCAGGCUUGGAAGGCCGCUGUCCUUGCCGUGUCCCCGGCCGAGGGAGAGUUCCCAUAAGGGCGCUAAUCCCUCCCGGGGCUCCCCCCGCGUGACCUCCCCGACCCUAGGGGCCCCUCAAGGACCAUCGCACUGGGACCAGAGGGUCCUGUCUAUGGGUUCUGGGGUGCGGGGCCCAGACGUUCCUGCGGCCUAUCCUGGAAGCCUAAGGACCCCCGAAGUAGAGGCUGAGGGUUCUGCUCAAAACAACCGUCCUCUGCACCGCUGUGUGAUGAGCAGGGCCCGGGCACGGAGGGCGCCUCGGGGUGCAGGAGACCUGGGGUCUGCACCACAGUCACCCAGAGGAGCAGCGUCAUGUCACGGGCACCAGGAGGGCGGGCCGGGCCGGGGUCGGUGGGUGCGGGCUGCGGGAGGGGAAGGGGCGGAGCUGGCGCGCCGCUGGGGGCUCGGGCAGGUCGGGGGGCGCAGGUGAGAGCCAGGCGCCCCCUCCCCCAUCGGGGCUCCAGUGCCCCCCGGCCUGGCCCUUCAGGCUUCACGAGCUCCCCGAUGCUCGAAGUUUCCGGAUGGUUUGGGAUGAUGCGCAUGUGCAUCGGGCUUCACGGGCCAACCGAGGCACCGAGGGCCGCGGAAGGUCGUCAAAUACCUGCAGCUUGAAAUCCCAGCUUGUCCGUCGCAUCAUCUGCCCUAGUGUGCGUGGUGAGCGCAGUGGGCGACUGCUGCCCCCAGGACAGCGCAGGAGGGGACGGUCCUUCAUCCCCGAGUGUGCCGCUGGCCCGGCCAGAGAAGUUGCUCUUUAGCCCCUGGUUUUUAGUGUAUUUAUUUAUUUAUUUAUUUAAUUUAUUUUUAAUUUCGUGGAGGCCAGGCCGCGACAGGAGCAGGCCCGGGGCUGGAGGCCGGGCUCCGUGGCUCCCCACGCGCGUGCCUCGUGACUCGGGACGGUCGAGCCGUCUCUUGCCAACCGGCUCGGGUAAAACGUCUAUGGUAAGGGGUAACCACGGUGCAAGAGGGAACACACCCCAACCCUAAGUCCCCGAACGUGCUCUGACAGAUGAUCUCAUUGGGUCCCUGUGACCCCUAGGGCAGGAACCGACUCCCCUCGCCCGUGAGUAAGGGCCUGGGGCCCGAGAGCUGAGUCACGUUCCCACCAUCACGCAGCAGAUUAAGGGGCGGCAGGACGAGGGCCCAAGCCCAACGCGCGCUCCUUAGCCAUCCCUGGGCUUCGGUUACCGUCGAACCGCGGGACCCGGGUCCCCGACCGCCCGCUGCCAGGCGUGCAUCUCUGCAGGAGCUGAAGCCUGAGGGGCUGGACGCUUAGGAACGGAGCUGGGCGCCUGGGAGGCAGACGGACACGGAGCUACCCUCACUGGAUCCCUGCAGAUGGGGAGGGAGAGCCGGGCGGUGGGGAUGACUAGGGGGGCUCUGGGGAUGACUGGGGAGGCAGUAGGGAUGACCGGGGGGCAGUGGGGAUGACU